rnacentral:tRNA from 1 species
AUCCAUAUAUCUAAGUUUAAGUGAUAGGUUCUUACCCUAUUAAUGUGAAGUUUUCAUUAUGGAUU